GGCUCUUUGUUAUAUUUAUAUAAAGAGUCGGACCUGCCCAGUGAAAUUUUCAACGGCCGCGGUACUCUGACCGUGCAAAGGUAGCAUAAUCACUUGCCUUAUAAUUGAAGGCUAGAAUGAAUGGUUUGACGAGGGCAUAACUGUCUCUCUCUAAUUAAUUAGAAUUUGACCUUUAGGUGAAGAGGCCUAAAAAUAACUGAAGGACGAGAAGACCCUGUCGAGCUUAAAGAGAAGAUGGAUCGAAAUAUAGCAAUAAAUAUAAGACCGUUUACAUUUUUUGGUUGGGGCGACUAGGGAACAAAAAGAGCUUCCCUUAAAUAGUAUACUUAUAUGUAAGGAUCCAGGAGAACGCUGAUUGGAAAAAUUAGUUACCGCAGGGAUAACAGCAUAAUCUCUUUUGAGAGACCUAAUCGAAAAAGGGGGUUGUGACCUCGAUGUUGGACUAGGAUAUCCUAAAGGUGCAGAAGCCUUUAAUGGUUAGUCUGUUCGACUAUUUAAAUCCUACG
rnacentral:rRNA from 1 species